GGCCUCAUAGCUCAGUGCUUAGAGCACUGGUCUAGUGAUACCAGUGGUCUUGAGUUCAAUUCUCACUGAGGCCU